AUAGCUAAUACCGCAUAAUAUUAAUUCUUGCAUGAUAAUUGAUUGAAAGAUGCAAGCGCAUCACUAGUAGAUGGACCUGCGUUGUAUUAGCUAGUUGGUAAGGUAAGAGCUUACCAAGGCGACGAUACAUAGCCGACCUGAGAGGGUGAUCGGCCACACUGGGACUGAGACACGGCCCAGACUCCUACGGGAGGCAGCAGUAGGGAAUCUUCGGCAAUGGACGAAAGUCUGACCGAGCAACGCCGCGUGAGUGAAGAAGGUUUUCGGAUCGUAAAGCUCUGUUGUAAGUCAAGAACGUGUGUGAGAGUGGAAAGUUCACACAGUGAC
rnacentral:rRNA from 1 species